rnacentral:rRNA from 1 species
AUACGGAAGGUGCGAGCGUUAAUCGGAAUUACUGGGCGUAAAGCGUACGUAGGCGGUUAUUUAAGUCAGAUGUGAAAGCCCCGGGCUUAACUUGGGAACUGCAUUUGAAACUGGGUAACUAGAGUUUAGUAGAGGGGAGUGGAAUUUCAGGUGUAGCGGUGAAAUGCGUAGAGAUCUGAAGGAACACCAGUGGCGAAGGCGACUCCCUGGACUAAAACUGACGCUGAGGUACGAAAGCGUGGGUAGCAAACAGGAGUAGAUACCCUAGUAGUCC